rnacentral:rRNA from 1 species
GACGAACGCUGGCGGCGUGCUUAACACAUGCAAGUCGAACGAUGAUGCCAGCUUGCUGGUGGAUUAGUGGCGAACGGGUGGGUAACACGUGAGCAACCUGCCCCUGACUUUGGGAUAACCGCGGGAAACCGUGGCUAAUACCGGAUAUGACGCGCUAUCGCAUGGUGGUGUGUGGAAAGAUUUAUCGGUUGGGGAUGGGCUCGCGGCCUAUCAGCUUGUUGGUGGGGUGAUGGCCUACCAAGGCGACGACGGGUAGCCGGCCUGAGAGGGUGACCGGCCACACUGGGACUGAGACACGGCCCAGACUCCUACGGGAGGCAGCAGUGGGGAAUAUUGCACAAUGGGCGCAAGCCUGAUGCAGCGACGCCGCGUGAGGGAUGACGGCCUUCGGGUUGUAAACCUCUUUCAGUAGGGAAGAAGGCCUUCGGGUUGACGGUACCUGCAGAAGAAGCGCCGGCUAACUACGUG